AGUGAACGCUGGCGGUAGGCCUAACACAUGCAAGUCGAACGGCAGCACCGUAAGAGCUUGCUCUUACGGGUGGCGAGUGGCGGACGGGUGAGGAAUACAUCGGAAUCUACUUUUUCGUGGGGGAUAACGUAGGGAAACUUACGCUAAUACCGCAUACGACCUACGGGUGAAAGCAGGGGAUCUUCGGACCUUGCGCGAUUGAAUGAGCCGAUGUCGGAUUAGCUAGUUGGCGGGGUAAAGGCCCACCAAGGCGACGAUCCGUAGCUGGUCUGAGAGGAUGAUCAGCCACACUGGACCUGAGACACGGUCCAGACUCCUACGGGAGGCAGCAGUGGGGAAUAUUGGAAAAUGGGCGCAAGCCUGAUCCAGCCAUACCGCGUGGGUGAAGAAGGCCUUCGGGUUGUAAAGCCCUUUUGUUGGGAAAGAAAAGCAGCAGGUUAAUACCCCGCUGUUCUGACGGUACCCAAAGAAUAAGCACCGGCUAACUUCGUG
rnacentral:rRNA from 1 species